rnacentral:rRNA from 1 species
AGAGUUUGAUCCUGGCUCAGAACGAACGCUGGCGGCAGGCUUAACACAUGCAAGUCGAACGCCCCUUUCGGGGGGAGUGGCAGACGGGUGAGUAACACGUGGGAACGUACCUCUUUGUUCGGAAUAACUCAUGGAAACGUGAGCUAAUACCGGAUACGCCCUUUUGGGGAAAGAUUUAUCGCAGAGAGAUCGGCCCGCGUCUGAUUAGCUAGUUGGUGAGGUAAUGGCUCACCAAGGCGACGAUCAGUAGCUGGUCUGAGAGGAUGAUCAGCCACACUGGGACUGAGACACAGCCCAGACUCCUACGGGAGGCAGCAGUGGGGAAUAUUGGACAAUGGGGGCGACCCUGAUCCAGCCAUGCCGCGUGAGUGAUGAAGGCCUCAGGGUUGUAAAGCUCUUUUAUCCGGGAAGAUAAUGACUGUACCGGAAGAAUAAGCCCCGGCUAACUUCGUGCCAGCAGCCGCGGUAAUACGAAGGGGGCUAGCGUUGUUCGGAAUCACUGGGCGUAAAGGGCGCGUAGGCGGACGAUUAAGUCAGGGGUGAAAUCCCGGGGCUCAACCUCGGAAUUGCCCUUGAUACUGGUUGUCUUGAGAUUGGAAGAGGUAAGUGGAAUUGCGAGUGUAGAGGUGAAAUUCGUAGAUAUUCGCAAGAACACCGGUGGCGAAGGCGACUUACUGGUCCAUAUCUGACGCUGAGGCGCGAAAGCGUGGGGAGCAAACAGGAUUAGAUACCCUGGUAGUCCACGCCCGUAACGAUGGAUGCCAGCUGUUGGGGAGCAUGCUCUUCAGUGGCGCAGUCAGCACAUUAAGCAUCCCGCCUGGGGAGUACGGUCGCAAGAUAAAAUUCAAAGGAUUUGACGGGGGCCCGCACAAGCGGGGGAGCAGGUGGUUUAUUCCAAGCCACGCGCAGAACCUUACCCCUCUUGCCCUCCGGGGCUACAUGAAAAGAUUCAUGGU